AUCCAGCUGACGAGCCCAAAAUAGGACGAAACACGCGUCGUGGAU
rnacentral:hammerhead_ribozyme from 1 species